rnacentral:rRNA from 1 species
CCUACGGGAGGCAGCAGUGAGGAAUAUUGGACAAUGGGGGCAACCCUGAUCCAGCCAUGCCGCGUGAGUGAUGAAGGCCUUCGGGUUGUAAAACUCUUUUAGAUGUGACGAUGAUGACGGUAACAUCAGAAAAAGCUCCGGCUAACUUCGUGCCAGCAGCCGCGGUAAUACGAAGGGAGCGAGCGUUGUUCGGAAUCACUGGGCUUAAAGCGUGCGUAGGUGGAUUGGUAAGUAAGGAGUGAAAUCCCAGGGCUUAACCCUGGAACUGCUCUUUAGACUGCCUGUCUGGAAUUCGGAAGAGGUUGGUGGAACUCCCAGUGUAGAGGUGAAAUUCGCAGAUAUUGGGAAGAACACCGGUGGCGAAGGCGACCAACUGGUCCGACAUUGACACUGAGGCACGAAAGCGUGGGUAGCAAACAGGAUUAGAUACCCUAGUAGUC